UGAACAUUUGUAUAUCAUCAAGUGGUUAAGCAUCCGCCUCUGAUGCGGGAUGUCGUGGGUUCGAUCCCCAGUCAAGUCAU